AGAUUGAACGCUGGCGGCAUGCCUAACACAUGCAAGUCGAACGGGAGUAGCAAUACUCUAGUGGCGGACGGGUGAGGAAUACGUAGGAAUUUGCCCUUAAGUGGGGGAUAACCCGGGGAAACCCGGAUUAAUACCGCAUGACCUCGAAAGAGCAAAGUGGGGGAUCGCGAGACCUCACGCUUUUGGAGAAGCCUACGUCGGAUUAGCUAGUUGGUGAGGUAAUGGCUCACCAAGGCGACGAUCCGUAACUGGUCUGAGAGGAUGAUCAGUCACACCGG
rnacentral:rRNA from 1 species